UAACCGUACUGGGCGAUACUUUCUGGAUUUCCGUGGCUUGGUACGGAGGUGGCUAAACUGACUGGAAUCGAGGCUUCUGAGGCUGCACAGAUUGGGAUAGGUGUUAAUUCUCAGGUCGACACUGACCUGCCUCGAUCACUCCUGAUAUCGUUUGGAGUACCUAUACCUUCCAGAUCUGACUAAAAGACUUCAAUUUUACUGCAAACCACCACCAAACCUUUACCACUUCCCGCAUAUAUCCUGCACGAGAGUUUGCCUUUUGCUGAAGGUGUACAAGUCCCUGAAGCUGUGACACCAGGAUCAGAUGCCAGACUUGCUAACACCUUUGAAGUUGCAGAGAAAGCAGCAACUACAUCUGAUGUUUCACUUCCCGGGAGUUUAGCAGCAGCUAAAGAACAAUGUUUAUCUGGAAGAGAAUGCCCAGAAGAAAGCACGUGAGGAAUGAGUCCCCUGUGAGAACCUAAAC